rnacentral:rRNA from 1 species
UACGUAGGGUGCAGGCGUUAAUCGGAAUUACUGGGCGUAAAGCGUGCGCAGGCGGUCUUUUAAGUCAGAUGUGAAAUCCCCGGGCUUAACCUGGGAACUGCGUUUGAAACUGGAAGGCUAGAGUGUGGCAGAGGGGGGUGGAAUUCCGGCGUGUAGCGGUGAAAUGCGCAGAUAUCAGGAGGAACACCGAUGGCGAAGGCAGGUCUCUGGGCAUUAACUGACGCUGGAGGAGCGGAAAGCAUGGGGAGGCGAACAGG